AUUGAACGCUGGCGGCAGGCCUAACACAUGCAAGUCGAGCGAGAGGCGGACGGGUGAGUAAUGUAUGGGGAUCUGACUGAUAGAGGGGGAUAACUAAUGGACACGGAUGCUAAUACCGCAUACUAUAGGCUGAACCCAUAUGGGAUUAGCUAGUAGGUGGGGUAAAGGCUCACCUAGGCGACGAACUCUAGCUGGUCUGAGAGGAUGAUCCGCCACACUGGAACUGAGACACGGCCCAGACUCCUACGGGAGGCAGCAGUGGUGAAUAUUGCACAAUGGGCGAAAGCCUGAUACAGCCAUGCCGCGUGUAUGAAGAAGGCCUUAGGGUUGUAAAGUACUUUCAGCGGGGAGGCGUUACCCGCAGAAGAAGCACCGGCUAACUCCGUGCCAGCAGCCGCGGUAAUAC
rnacentral:rRNA from 1 species